CCUACGGGCGGCAGCAGUGGGGAAUAUUGGACAAUGGGGGCAACCCUGAUCCAGCCAUGCCGCGUGUGUGAAGAAGGCCCUCGGGUUGUAAAGCACUUUCAGUGAGGAAGAACGCCUGGUGGUUAAUACCCAUCAGGAAAGACAUCACUCACAGAAGAAGCACCGGCUAACUCCGUGCCAGCAGCCGCGGUAAUACGGAGGGUGCGAGCGUUAAUCGGAAUUACUGGGCGUAAAGCGCGCGUAGGUGGCUUGAUAAGCCGGUUGUGAAAGCCCCGGGCUCAACCUGGGAACGGCAUCCGGAACUGGCAAGCUAGAGUGCAGGAGAGGAAGGUAGAAUUCCCGGUGUAGCGGUGAAAUGCGUAGAGAUCGGGAGGAAUACCAGUGGCGAAGGCGGCCUUCUGGACUGACACUGACACUGAGGUGCGAAAGCGUGGGUAGCAAACAGGAUUAGAUACCCGUGUAGUC
rnacentral:rRNA from 1 species